CUUCUCUAUUAUCAACACUUGACCCAACCAGCUGUUCAACAUUUGGCCCUGUAUCAACAGGGCGGUUGUUAUCAGAGGAGUAGCACAUUUUAUUUUUCUUGCUGACAAGGAUUGAUUUCAUUUGGAAGAAGCGUGCUUCAAUAUUGGGUGUGUGCGGUGACGUCUAGCAGAGGUGGUGCACGGUGCUAGAUGGAAUAAGGAAAGCAAGUGGUGUCACGGCCUAGAGAAAAAGAUAGGAGAUGAUUCAUUGCAAGGGUACUUAAUCAUUGAAGAAGUGUAGAACGGUGACAAGAGAAGCACGUCCAGCGUUGGUGAGGUGCUGAUUUAUUUUGCUGGAAGAAAAGGGCACCACGCAGCUCUCGGUUUUCAUUUCUUUCCUUUAGAGAAUAGGAUGUGGUGAUGGAUUUUGGUAAACACUGAUUUUAUUUGGAGCAGCUGCAGCGGUGUGCACGGCGUCCAGCAGAGUGCACACGCGGUGAUAAAUUGUUGGAGAGAAAGGCACAUUUUGGAACAUAUAAAAGAAGUGUGUGGUGUCACGGAAGGGGAAGCAGCACACGCUAC
rnacentral:sRNA from 1 species